AUUGAACGCUGGCGGCAGGCUUAACACAUGCAAGUCGGGCGGAAAUGAGGUGCUUGCACCUUAUCUUAGCGGCGGACGGGUGAGUAAUGCUUAGGAAUCUGCCUAUUAGUGGGGGACAACAUUCCGAAAGGAAUGCUAAUACCGCAUACGUCCUACGGGAGAAAGCAGGGGAUCUUCGGACCUUGCGCUAAUAGAUGAGCCUAAGUCGGAUUAGCUAGUUGGUGGGGUAAAGGCCUACCAAGGCGACGAUCUGUAGCGGGUCUGAGAGGAUGAUCCGCCACACUGGGACUGAGACACGGCCCAGACUCCUACGGGAGGCAGCAGUGGGGAAUAUUGGACAAUGGGGGGAACCCUGAUCCAGCCAUGCCGCGUGUGUGAAGAAGGCCUUAUGGUUGUAAAGCACUUUAAGCGAGGAGGAGGCUACUGAGACUAAUACUCUUGGAUAGUGGACGUUACUCGCAGAAUAAGCACCGGCUAACUCUGUGCCAGCCGCCGCCGUAA
rnacentral:rRNA from 1 species